CCUACGGGAGGCUGCAGUGAGGAAUAUUGGUCAAUGGGCGCGAGCCUGAACCAGCCAAGUCGCGUGAAGGAUGACGGUCCUAUGGUUUGUAAACCUCUUUUAUAUGGGAACAAAGUGCGCAACGCGUUGCGUUCUGUGAGUACCAUACGAACAAGCAUCGGCUAACUCCGUGCCAGCAGCCGCGGUAAUACGGAGGAUGCGAGCGUUAUCCGGAUUUAUUGGGUUUAAAGGGUGCGAAGGCGGAAGAUAAAGUCAGCGGUAAAAUUGUGAGGCCAAACCUAAUAUAGCCGUUGAAACUGGUUUUCUUGAGUGAGUUUGAAGUAGGCGGAAUGCGUGGUGUAGCGGUGAAAUGCAUAGAUAUCACGCAGAACUCCGAUUGCGAAGGCAGCAUACUGGA
rnacentral:rRNA from 1 species